AGCCAGGCAGUUAGCGCCAGAGUUGAGGUGGUGCAGCUAGCACUCUGACCACCUCUGCGGAAGCAGGUCAGUGUUGGCAGGCCUUUGGAGUUCAACACAGCAAACCACAGAGGCUGCUGAUCUGUGACUGCACAGAGCGAGAGCUGAACAGCAGGUGGAGGCAUGGCCUGUAUUCACUGCUAGUAGAGCUGCUGUCCAACCUGCAGAAGCCAAAUAUGUGUCAGGUCAGCUGCCAAGAACAACCGAGGCCAGGCUUGUCUUGGCGUCUGAUCAAAAAGAAGGACCCAGCUCCAGUCACACAGCAACUGAAAACAUUUACACAGCUGGGACCCUCGAACCCUGAGGCCGCCCUGCCCUACUGCAAGGACCUGCGCUGGAGCAAUGGGAGAGAGAGUAAGAGGAAAAGGGGGGGUGGGCAGGGGGGGAAGGACCAGGUGCUUCUGGGGAAUGUAGGAGGUCCGAGGAUGGAGCAAAGGAUAAUGACCACUAUGAGCUCACUGUUACUCACCCGCUGUUCCCCUUGUCCCAAAAGUCAUGUUUACCUACGCCCCCGUUUUGAUGAAGGGACAAAAAUACACACACAAGCAUGAACACAAAACAAGGGCCUGCAAAGACAUGCAAAGACAUGCAAGGACAAGCGGACAUUCAUGCAUAAAUGCAUGUUCGUGUUUGCACAAACUAGCUGAAAAACAGGUACUGAUAAGAUUGUGCUAUAUAUCCUUUAAAUCUGUAUUUAUGGCUGCGUGCACCCACGUGUCUGUUAUGGGACGUGUUUCUGUUUGAUGAGCUGUGUUUGUGUGUUUAUGCAGAGAUUAGAGAAGAUUUCUUCACUGGAUCAAGAGAUACAGUCAAGAAAAAAAAUCUGCAUUGCACUGCAAGUAGUAUAUGUCCAUAAACUAAAUGUACAUACCAGACGAGCUACACUUUUUGAGCAUACAUUCAUAAAUAUACCAGAUGUUUGCAUUAAUGCCA